rnacentral:rRNA from 1 species
CAGUCGCCACGGGAAUACGGAGGGUGCAAGCGUUAAUCGGAAUUACUGGGCGUAAAGCGCACGCAGGCGGUUUGUUAAGUCAGAUGUGGAAUCCCCGGGCUCAACCUGGGAACUGCAUCUGAUACUGGCAAGCUUGAGUCUCGUAGAGGGGGGUAGAAUUCCAGGUGUAGCGGUGAAAUGCGUAGAGAUCUGGAGGAAUACUGGUGGCGAAGGCGGCCCCCUGGACGAAGACUGACGCUCAGGUGCGAAAGCGUGGGGAGCAAACAGGAUUAGAUACCCCGGUAGUCCCUGUCUCUUAUAC